UGCCUCGUGGUGUAGUGGUAGCACGCGCCCCAGUAUGGAUAAAACACGGGUUCGACUCCCGGUGAGGUCG